UACGAGGGGGGCGAGCGUUGUUCGGAAUUAUUGGGCGUAAAGGGUGCGUAGGCGGUUUGGUAAGUCUUAUGUGAAAUCUAUGGGCUCAACUCAUAGUCUGCAUGAGAAACUGCCGGGCUUGAGUGUGGGAGAGGAGAGUGGAAUUCCCGGUGUAGCGGUGAAAUGCGCAGAUAUCGGGAAGAACACCCAUGGCGAAGGCAGCUCUCUGGGACGGUACUGACGCUGAGACGCGAAAGCGUGGGGAGCGAACAGG
rnacentral:rRNA from 1 species